rnacentral:lncRNA from 1 species
UGGACUCCACAUAUUAGGUCCAUGUCAUAGCCAAGUCAGCAUAUCAUAUUGGCAGUUUAAGUCAAGUUAUUAAGAUUUGGGACUCAUAGGGUACGAUUAGCAAGUUUGUAUAUUUAAUUGAGCUUUUUGCGAGUUUAGGACCGGGAUGAGACAGUGUGAAAAGUUUAAGGACCAGUGGUGUAUUUUACUCAAAGAAAUAUUUACCCAAAGCCGCCAGGUGUCAUGCUAAAAAUAUUUUAGAAAGUGUAAGAGGGGGAAUAAACAUGUAGGUGGACAGGGGGUGCAAUAGACCUAUGUGAAUGAAAAAGAUGAAAAUGUUUGAUAACCACUACAGCGAGUGAGCAGGUUGGGACACAUAGGAACUAACAUAAAUUAAAAAAAUUAACAUAGAGUUACAGUAAACAAGACUGAGAUUGUGUGAUAGGCAACUAUGUUUUUGCCAAACAAAGAGAUAAAUAUAAAUGUCAAUAUGGGGGCUGCUUUCAGCACACCGAGAUGACGCAUCAUACGUGAACUACAAAACUGCAUUCAUGUUGCCUUGAUCUACAUUGGGCUUGUAGGUAUCAAUUAUCUUGAUUAAUGUAAGUUCGAUCACUUUGUCUGAAGUUUGAUUGCAUUUAUAAGUAUUCAAUAAUUCUUUCUUUUAGUAGGGAUAUUUGGUAGGGAUCAUAUAGUUUGUUUCUCUUUAAAAAAAAUAGACAAAUCUUGCCAAAACGGAUAAAUUGAUUUUCAGGGAGAAAGUAGAAUUGGAGGUUAUUUUAGGUGAUGGCAAUAUGAUAGCCUUUUGGGUUGAUACCUGGUGUAGAUCACAUACUUUUGUUGAAACUUUUUCUGGCACGUUUCUCACAUACUACACAGAUGAAUUCUACGGUUUCUUGGGAAUUCGGAACUCCCCCCCUCUCUCUAUGACCACAGUCAUGCAGCUUCUCAGGACCUCGAUCUUGUAUCACUUAUAUCAGCUGUAACUUUGGACAUUGGUACUGCAGAUUCAAGAGUAGUUAGAAGCAAUGGGAAAAUCCCAAGCUAGAUGAGAUCAUUACAUGGUCGCCUUAACCUCAUACGAGGAUUAUGUUUUCACUCUUGCAGUCUGGAAAACUUUCCUGCACUUAAAUGCAAGUUCUUCCUCGGGUUGGCACAUCAGCAAAGGUUAAAUACAAAUUCUAGCUUGAACUACCACAAUAUGGGACCAUCAGCACAAUACCCUACAAUCAAAAACACUAAAAUAUCCAGACAUGAAGGCGAAACAAACUCUUUCUUGCUAGACGUUGAUAUAACGUUAGUUCGUUGACCUUUUAGAUGUUGUGGUUCUACUAUCAGGGACAAUGUUAGCUUGGAAUAGUUUCUUUUGCUCUCGAGUCCUACCAGUAUGUUUUAAUAUUUUAUUCUGCUCCUCCCUCCCUCCCUCAUCGAAAAUCCCUUUGCAAGAUCUCUAAACCUUGUUUAUGUGUAAUUAUUGUCAUUUGCAAUAAAAUUCAGGCAAUCUAAAUGGUUCCCGUAGUUUUUAUAAACAAAGAAACAUAAAUCGUUGUGAGAAUCCAAAACCAUAGCCAACGGGCC